AUAAGCAGUUUUCUGUCACGGUCACCGAGGACACCGGCGCUGCAGAUGAUAGAAAAUACUGUGGCAUGGAAUCAUAAAACAUCUCAGAAGGUUCUGAGGAGGAUCCAGGUGAAGUCGUCGUCCAAGAGCAGCAUAACAUGGAACAUGCUGAUCAUCAGGGGAGAAUUUACAGACAGCAGGAUCUUGGUACAGAGAACCUACAGAGAAAGAAAAUCAGGAACAUUCCGUCAUUAACUGACAUUCUAAACCUUCUGCAGAUGUUCCAAAGCUCCAGUCAAGAAUCAUCAUUAAAGGCAGUCUAAUACGCUCUCCAGCCACAGCCAAGAGUUCCAGUCUCAUCCGUGCUACCAACCUUUCCGAAACUGAACAGACACAAUCGUCCACGUCUGAGGAAAGGAAAGUCUAGCAGAAUUAUUGCUGAGGCACCAUGGAGGAACACCUACAGUUCUGCAUUGUGAAGCUUCCAGUGGAGUCUUUAUCCACCCAGAGGGUUGGGUUCUCUUUGUCCAGUU